ensembl:snRNA U6 U6 spliceosomal RNA
UUGCUCUUUCGGGCAGCACAUAUACUAAAAUCGGAACAAUACAGAGAAGAUUAGCACAGCCCCUUUGCAAGGAUGGCACACAUGUUUGUGAAAUGUUCCAUUAAAAA